GCUCCGGUGGCCUAGUGGUUAGAGCAUCAGCAUCGGAUGCGGGAGAUCGUGAGUUCGAUCCCCGGCUGAGUCA